AGGCUUGAAUAGAGAAAAGAGAAAACAAACCUGAGAGGAUGCAAGAGACCGAACCCAAGGGAUGGGCACCUCUGGCUGCCUCCUCAUAGAGGCUAAUUAUUAAUGCCUUCUCCUUAAGCUGUAUAAGCAGACAAGAGAGGCACAGAGAGAUACCCAUGUUUUAUAGUCCUCUGUUUCAAGGAGGCUUUGAAAAAUGAAUGCCUUGAUUCUCCUGCCAUGCCUCAGAACAAAGCUGUGCUCAAGAAAGACAAUGAAAGGCAGUUUGUGCUGGAGAGGACACUCCAAGAGCAAUACAGGGGAAGCAGGAGUGAGGAAACAGCCCCAGGCUGCUGGGAUCCUGCCUAUUCCCUUUGGGAAGUCCUAGAUGUUUCUUGUUGAAUUGAAUUCCCAAUGACCUCCUUUCCCACCUUUGGAAGCUCAUGGAGCAGAGAAGGAGGUUCCCAUUUCUUUUCAGCACCCAGUCUCCUAACCUCAUCUCUAUAGUGAAAUAUCUGCAGCUAUACAUAUGUGUCUGUUUUGAGCUGCAGGAGUGGAUCACACAAGGGGCUAAUGCAUGGAGACUCUAGAUUGCUUUGAACCUGCAUUUUUGCUUCCAGCAUAACAACUUCUCCAUGAAGGAUUUACUGGAAGGGGGACAGGAAUACCAAAAGGCAUCUCAGGAAAUGAAUGGAAAUGAAUGCUUCAAGGAAACGAAUGGAAAAUAGCCACAGAGGACAGGCAAAUGGAGAUGGAUGGAAAGCAAAGGUUAGUAAAUCUUGCCAAUUAAUUCUGCCACACACAGAGCCUCCUCCUUGCUAAGGUGUUAAGAGCAGUGGGGGAUGAACAGUUAAUGCUGCAGCUUGGCCUCUCCUGCCCUUACACAGGUAUUGGAACAGCUCCCAGGCAGUAGGCAUUUUAUUAACUAGGGGCUAAUAACACCCUGGGGAGAGAAGUUGUUCCCGGAUGCUCUUCUGAACAGGGUGCAGACAACAGUCUGAGGCAAUUUGUUCCUUUUUCAAGGGAUUCUGUUUGGAUGGGUUUGUUUGUUGGGGUUUUGAAGUUGCUGAAACAUGAGGCAGCUGAACCCAGCUAGGAAAAGCAUUAGCAAAAGGCUGGUUUUUUUCCCCCUUUUCUGUAGAAACCUGUAGCUAAAUUCUCCAGAGGAUUCUCCCCUGGAGUAAAAAAUAAAGCUAAAAAGCUCCUUGUUUUAAACCUCAAGCUCACCUUCCUCACAGAAACAACUGUGAAACACAGCCUGGCCUCUCCUUAACCCUUUCUUGUGCUUGGCUGCUGUGCAUCUGCAUGUCAUAAACUACACACUGAAGAGGGGGAGAUUUGGGAUGCCUCCACUCCUGAAUUUAGAACUCCAGAUACAGCACAAACAAGAGACAAAGACAAAACAGCGAGGCUGAAAGCAGAGCCGAGCAAUCUCUACCGACCAGGUCUUGCAGAUGCUGCUAAUCGCCAUGGCUCAAGCCAAGGAGCUGCAUCUAUUUGGACCAACCUUUGCGUCCUAAAAGCAGCGAAGGAGAUGAG